rnacentral:rRNA from 1 species
AGGGCACCACCUGGAGUGGAGCCUGCGGCUUAAUUUGACUCAACACGGGAAAACUCACCCGGCCCGGACACUGGAAGGAUUGACAGAUUGAGAGCUCUUUCUUGAUUCAGUGGGUGGUGGUGCAUGGCCGUUCUUAGUUGGUGGAGCGAUUUGUCUGGUUAGUUCCGAUAACGAACGAGACUCUAGCCUACUAAAUAGACUGUUCAGCUUUAUAGCCGGAAUCACUGGGCGUGUAGCUCUCCGCAAGGGGGGUUGCAUGUUCGGCUCUGGUGACGUUGGCAGUGCUUCUUAGAGGGACAGGCGGCGGUUCAGCCGCACGAAACAGAGCAAUAACAGGUCUGUGAUGCCCUUAGAUGUCCGGGGCUGCACGCGCGCUACACUGAAGUGAUCAGCGUGCAAUUUACGUUUGGUGAUCUGUCAAGAUUGCCCAACCCGUUGAACCUUCUUCGUGAUUGGGAUAGGGGAUUGUAAUUAUUCCCCUUGAACGAGGAAUUCCCAGUAAGCGCAAGUCAUAAGCUU